GACGUAGGGUGCAAGCGUUGUCCGGAUUUAUUGGGCGUAAAGAGCUCGUAGGCGGCUUGUUGCGUCGACUGUGAAAACCCGCGGCUUAACCGCGGGCUUGCAGUUGAUACGGGCAGGCUAGAGUUCGGUAGGGGAGACUGGAAUUCCCGGUGUAGCGGUGAAAUGCGCAGAUAUCGGGAAGAACACCCGUGGCGAAGGCGGUUCUCUGGGACGGUACUGACGCUGAGACGCGAAAGCGUGGGGAGCGAACAGG
rnacentral:rRNA from 1 species